GUUAAAUUGGGGUAGAGCAGGGACUUAGGGUUAGCUUAGCAUAGCUUAACAUGGGUGGGAGGACCAGACAUAUGUCCAAGGAGGCGCUGGCUAAGUUAGGUGAGAACUAGGAGCUGGGACCCACCGAAGUGGAUCCCAACAGUGCACGGGCCAUCAUCAGGGACGUCCAGUCCUCCGUCGCCAUCUUCCAGGUGGCGCUGGCCGCGACGUUUCGUCCGCUUCUUGGGACUUCCUCAGGCUUAAGGCCACAGCAUGCAGGAUUUCAUGGACUUCGUGGAGCUCCCUCAACACGGAAUAAGGUAAGGCUAGGGUUUUGAGGCUGGGAUUUUGGGGUUGGGACUUAAUUAGGGUUGUAGGACCUUAGGUUUAGGGCCACAAAAUGGGCUAGGGGAUAGGCCAAUUAAUGGGAAUCAGAGUGACAAAUUGGGACUGAUGUUAAAUUGGGGUAGAGCAGGGACUUAGGGUUAGCUUAGCAUAGCUUAACAUGGGUGGGAGGACCAGACAUAUGUCCAAGGAGGCGCUGGCUAAGUUAGGUGAGAACUAGGAGCUGGGACCCACCGAAGUGGAUCCCAACAGUGCACGGGCCAUCAUCAGGGACGUCCAGUCCUCCGUCGCCAUCUUCCAGGUAUGGGUUUGUAUAAUCUACUAUUUAGAUCAUU
rnacentral:lncRNA from 15 species